GAUGAACGCUGGCGGCGUGCCUAAUACAUGCAAGUCGAGCGAACGGACGAGAAGCUUGCUUCUCUGAUGCUAGCGGCGGACGGGUGAGUAACACGUGGAUAACCUACCUAUAAGACUGGGAUAACUUCGGGAAACCGGAGCUAAUACCGGAUAAUAUUUUGAACCGCAUGGUUCAAAAGUGAAAGACGGUCUUGCUGUCACUUAUAGAUGGAUCCGCGCUGCAUUAGCUAGUUGGUAAGGUAACGGCUUACCAAGGCAACGAUGCAUAGCCGACCUGAGAGGGUGAUCGGCCACACUGGAACUGAGACACGGUCCAGACUCCUACGGGAGGCAGCAGUAGGGAAUCUUCCGCAAUGGGCGAAAGCCUGACGGAGCAACGCCGCGUGAGUGAUGAAGGUCUUCGGAUCGUAAAACUCUGUUAUUAGGGAAGAACAUAUGUGUAAGUAACUGUGCACAUCUUGACGGUACCUAAUCAGAAAGCCACGGCUAACUACGUGCCAGCAGCCGCGGUAAUACGUAGGUGGCAAGCGUUAUCCGGAAUUAUUGGGCGUAAAGCGCGCGUAGGCGGUUUUUUAAGUCUGAUGUGAAAGCCCACGGCUCAACCGUGGAGGGUCAUUGGAAACUGGAAAACUUGAGUGCAGAAGAGGAAAGUGGAAUUCCAUGUGUAGCGGUGAAAUGCGCAGAGAUAUGGAGGAACACCAGUGGCGAAGGCGACUUUCUGGUCUGUAACUGACGCUGAUGUGCGAAAGCGUGGGGAUCAAACAGGAUUAGAUACCCUGGUAGUCCACGCCGUAAACGAUGAGUGCUAAGUGUUAGGGGGUUUCCGCCCCUUAGUGCUGCAGCUAACGCAUUAAGCACUCCGCCUGGGGAGUACGACCGCAAGGUUGAAACUCAAAGGAAUUGACGGGGACCCGCACAAGCGGUGGAGCAUGUGGUUUAAUUCGAAGCAACGCGAAGAACCUUACCAAAUCUUGACAUCCUUUGACAACUCUAGAGAUAGAGCUUUCCCCUUCGGGGGACAAAGUGACAGGUGGUGCAUGGUUGUCGUCAGCUCGUGUCGUGAGAUGUUGGGUUAAGUCCCGCAACGAGCGCAACCCUUAAGCUUAGUUGCCAUCAUUAAGUUGGGCACUCUAAGUUGACUGCCGGUGACAAACCGGAGGAAGGUGGGGAUGACGUCAAAUCAUCAUGCCCCUUAUGAUUUGGGCUACACACGUGCUACAAUGGACAAUACAAAGGGCAGCGAAACCGUGAGGUCAAGCAAAUCCCAUAAAGUUGUUCUCAGUUCGGAUUGUAGUCUGCAACUCGACUACAUGAAGCUGGAAUCGCUAGUAAUCGUAGAUCAGCAUGCUACGGUGAAUACGUUCCCGGGUCU
rnacentral:rRNA from 1 species